ACGCACGCUGGCGGCGUGCUUAACACAUGCCCGUCGAACGGUAAGGCCUUUCGGGGUACACGAGUGGCGAACGGGUGAGUAACACGUGGGUGAUCUGCCCUGCACUUCGGGAUAAGCCCGGGAAACUGGGUCUAAUACCGGAUAGGACUGCGCGGUGCAUGCCGUGUGGUGGAAAGAUUUAUCGGUGCAGGAUGGGCCCGCGGCCUAUCAGCUUGUUGGUGGGGUAAUGGCCUACCAAGGCGACGACGGGUAGCCGGCCUGAGAGGGCGACCGGCCACACUGGGACUGAGACACGGCCCAGACUCCUACGGGAGGCAGCAGUGGGGAAUAUUGCACAAUGGGCGCAAGCCUGAUGCAGCGACGCCGCGUGAGGGAUGACGGCCUUCGGGUUGUAAACCUCUUUCAGCAGGGACGAAGCGUGAGUGACGGUACCUGCAGAAGAAGCACCGGCCAACUACGUG
rnacentral:rRNA from 1 species